AUACGGAAGGUCCGGGCGUUAUCCGGAUUUAUUGGGUUUAAAGGGAGCGCGGGCGGCACUUCGAGCGUGACGUUAAAUUUCGGGGCUCACCCCCGUUAUGCGUCGCGAACUGUUGUGCUUGAGUAGGCGGCAGGGAGGCGGAAUUCGCGGUGUAGCGGUGAAAUGCUUAGAUAUCGCGAGGAACUCCGAUAGCGCAGGCAGCCUCCCGUUGCUUUACUGACGCUCAUGCUCGAAGGUGCGGGUAUCGAACAGGAUUAGAUACCCUGGUAGUCCGCACUGUAAACGAUGGAUGCCCGCUGUUGGGCCUUUUGGGUUCAGUGGCCAAGAGAAAUCGUUAAGCAUCCCACCUGGGGAGUACGCCGGCAACGGUGAAACUCAAAUGAAUUGACGGGG
rnacentral:rRNA from 1 species